UGUAGCGCACAAGCUGCCUCAGCUGGCGCGGGCCUAUGAGCCCAGCACUUGGGAGGCUGAGGCAGGAGGAU
rnacentral:miRNA from 1 species